rnacentral:rRNA from 1 species
UCGAACGGAAAGGCCCUGCUUGCAGGGUACUCGAGUGGCGAACGGGUGAGUAACACGUGGGUGAUCUGCCCUGCACUUCGGGAUAAGCUUGGGAAACUGGGUCUAAUACCGGAUAGGAACCAUCUUUAGUGUGGUGGUUGGAAAGUUUUUUCGGUGUAGGAUGAGCUCGCGGCCUAUCAGCUUGUUGGUGGGGUAAUGGCCUACCAAGGCGGCGACGGGUAGCCGGCCUGAGAGGGUGUACGGCCACAUUGGGACUGAGAUACGGCCCAGACUCCUACGGGAGGCAGCAGUGGGGAAUAUUGCACAAUGGGCGCAAGCCUGAUGCAGCGACGCCGCGUGGGGGAUGAAGGCCUUCGGGUUGUAAACUCCUUUCGCUAGGGACGAAGCUUUUUGUGACGGUACCUAGAUAAGAAGCACCGGCUAACUACGUGCCAGCAGCCGCGGUAAUACGUAGGGUGCGAGCGUUGUCCGGAAUUACUGGGCGUAAAGGGCUCGUAGGUGGUUUGUCGCGUCGUCUGUGAAAUUCUGGGGCUUAACUCCGGGCGUGCAGGCGAUACGGGCAUAACUUGAGUGCUGUAGGGGUAACUGGAAUUCCUGGUGUAGCGGUGAAAUGCGCAGAUAUCAGGAGGACACCGAUGGCGAAGGCAGGUUACUGGGCAGUUACUGACGCUGAGGAGCGAAAG